AGCGAACGCUGGCGGCAGGCUUAACACAUGCAAGUCGAACGCAUCCUUCGGGGUGAGUGGCAGACGGGUGAGUAACACGUGGGAACGUACCCUUCGAUCUGGGAUAACUUCGGGAAACUGGAGCUAAUACCGGAUACGCCCUUUUGGGGAAAGGUUUACUGUCGAAGGAUCGGCCCGCGUCUGAUUAGCUAGUUGGUGGGGUAACGGCCUACCAAGGCGACGAUCAGUAGCUGGUCUGAGAGGAUGAUCAGCCACACUGGGACUGAGACACGGCCCAGACUCCUACGGGAGGCAGCAGUGGGGAAUAUUGGACAAUGGGCGCAAGCCUGAUCCAGCCAUGCCGCGUGAGUGAUGAAGGCCUUAGGGUUGUAAAGCUCUUUUGUCCGGGACGAUAAUGACGGUACCGGAAGAAUAAGCCCCGGCUAACUUCGUG
rnacentral:rRNA from 1 species